UACAGAGGUGGCAAGCGUUGUUCGGAAUUACUGGGCGUAAAGGGCGCGUAGGCGGCCUUCUAAGUCAGACGUGAAAUCUCCCGGCUUAACUGGGAGGGUGCGCCGGAAACUGGAGUGCUCGAGCGUGGGAGAGGAAAGCGGAAUUCCUGGUGUAGCGGUGAAAUGCGUAGAUAUCAGGAGGAACACCUGCGGUGUAGACGGCUUUCUGGACCAUUGCUGACGCUGAGGUGCGAAAGCGUGGGGAGCAAACAGG
rnacentral:rRNA from 1 species